UACAGAGGAGCCAAGCGUUGUCCGGAUUGACUGGGCGUAAAGCGCACGCAGGCGGAUGCGCGCGUGGGGUGUGAAAUCUGGCCGCUUAACGGCCAGGCGCCAUCCCAUACGGCGCGUCUGGAGUGAUGCAGAGGUCGGUGGAAUUGCCGGUGUAGUGGUGAAAUGCGUAGAUAUCAGUCGGAACACCGGUGGCGAGGGCGGCUUCUUGGGCCGUUCCUGACGCUGAGGCGCGAAAGCCAGGGGAGCGAACGGG
rnacentral:rRNA from 1 species